GCUUGACGGUCGAAUGGCUUAGUGGUUAGUGACCCUGACUACUGAGCCGAAGGUCCCGGGUUCGAUUCCCGGCUGGGGCA
rnacentral:tRNA from 1 species